rnacentral:rRNA from 1 species
UACAGAGGUCCCAAGCGUUGUUCGGAUUCACUGGGCGUAAAGGGUGCGUAGGCGGUCGGGUAAGUCUGGUGUGAAAUCUCAGAGCUUAACUGUGAAACUGCAUUGGAUACUGUCGGGCUAGAGGACUGGAGGGGAGACUGGAAUUCUCGGUGUAGCAGUGAAAUGCGUAGAUAUCAGGAGGAACACCAGUGGCGAAGGCGAGUCUCUGGACAGUUCCUGACGCUGAGGCACGAAAGCCAGGGGAGCAAACGGG